GUGCCAGCAGCCGCGCGGUAAUACGGAAGGUGCAAGCGUUAAUCGGAAUUACUGGGCGUAAAGCGCGCGUAGGUGGUUUGUUAAGUUGGAUGUGAAAGCCCUGGGCUCAACCUAGGAACUGCAUCCAAAGCUAACUCACUAGAGUACGAUAGAGGGAGGUAGAAUUCAUAGUGUAGCGGUGGAAUGCGUAGAUAUUAUGAAGAAUACCAGUGGCGAAGGCGGCCUCCUGGAUCUGUACUGACACUGAGGUGCGAAAGCGUGGGUAGCGAACAGGAUUAGAUACCCUGGUAGUCCACGCCGUAAACGAUGACAACUAGCUGUUGGGAGACAAUGUCUUUCAGUGGCGCAGCUAACGUUUUAAGUUGUCCGCCUGGGGAGUACGGCCGCAAGGCUAAAACUCAAAGGAAUUGACGGGGACCCGCACAAGCGGUGGAGCAUGUGGUUUAAUUCGAUGCAACGCGAAGAACCUUACCUGGUCUUGACAUCCUGCGAACUUUCUAGAAAUAGAUUGGUGCCUUCGGGAACGCAGUGACAGGUGCUGCAUGGCUGUCGUCAGCUCGUGUCGUGAGAUGUUGGGUUAAGUCCCGUAACGAGCGCAGCCCCUAUCCUUAUUUGCCAGCACAUUAUGGUGGGAACUAUAAGGAGACUGCCGGUGAUAAACCGGAGGAAGGCGGGGACGACGUCAAGUCAUCAUGGCCCUUACGACCAGGGCUACACACGUGCUACAAUGGGAUGGACAAAGAGUCGCGAAGCCGCGAGGUGUAGCUAAUCUCAUAAACCUUCUCGUAGUCCGGAUUGGAGUCUGCAACUCGACUCCAUGAAGUCGGAAUCGCUAGUAAUCGUAGAUCAGAAUGCUACGGUGAAUACGUUCCCGGGUCUUGUACACACCGCCCGUCA
rnacentral:rRNA from 1 species